CCACCCCCGAAAUCUCCCUAUAAAAAUCCCCCCCUCUAUUCCCAUCCACCUCCAAAGCUCUAUCCGAUAUCCCCUUUCUCUAACUCCCAAACACCCCCAUCUCUAGGGUUUCUUCUUCUCUCCAGAAUCUCCUUCCCGGCCAUGCCGUCGAUGCCCGCCGGCGCCGGCGCCGUCGAGGAGCUGGAGGAGCCGCUCCUCGCCCCGACCCCCGACCGCUUCUCGAUGUUCCCCAUCCGGUACCCCCAGGUGUGGGAGAUGUACAAGAAGGCCGUCGCCUCCUUCUGGACCGCCGAGGAGGUCGACCUCUCCGCCGACCUCCCCCACUGGCUCCACACCCUCACCCCCGACGAGCGCCACUUCAUCUCCCACGUCCUUGCUUUCUUCGCCGCCUCCGACGGCAUCGUCCUCGAGAACCUCGCCGCCCGCUUCAUGUCCGACGUCCAGAUUGCCGAGGCUCGCGCCUUCUACGGCUUCCAGAUAGCCAUCGAAAACAUCCACUCCGAGAUGUAUUCUCUUUUGCUGGAAUCCUACAUCAAAGACCCUGACGAAAAAGACCGCCUUUUUCGUGCUGUCGAGACGGUCCCGGCGGUGGCGAAGAAGGCCCAGUGGGCGCUCCAGUGGAUUGAGUCCUCGGACUCCUUCGCGGAGCGCCUCGUGGCCUUCUCUGCUGUUGAGGGGAUCUUCUUCUCCGGCUCCUUCUGUUCCAUCUUCUGGCUCAAGAAGCGCGGCCUCAUGCCGGGGCUGACCUUCUCCAACGAGCUCAUCUCCCGCGACGAGGGCCUCCACUGCGACUUCGCCUGCCUCCUCUACUCCCUCCUCAACCACAAGCUCCCUGAGGAUCGCAUCAAGUCAAUCAUCGCCGACGCUGUCGACAUCGAGAGGGAGUUCGUCUGCGAUGCGUUGCCGGUGGCGCUGGUGGGGAUGAAUGGGGAUUUGAUGAGCGAAUACAUCGAGUUCGUGGCGGAUCGGCUCUUGGGGGCGUUGGGGUGCGGGAAGUUGUACGGGGCAGCCAAUCCGUUCGAUUGGAUGGAGUUGAUAUCGCUCCAGGGGAAGACGAACUUUUUCGAGAAGAGGGUCGGGGACUACCAGAAGGCGGCAGUGAUGUCAAGCUUGAAUGGGAACGGCCAUGGAGGGAACCAUGUGUUCAAGCUGGAUGAGGAUUUCUGAAUGAUUCUUUCUCUGUAACAAUUUCUAUGUUGCUUUCUUGCAGUGGCCGUUGUAACGGCUAAUUUUUGAUUGCCGAACGAGUUGGACUGGAUAAAUGACGGCCGUUAUUCCUGAUAUGGUCCGUUCAUUUGGAGGAUAUCGGCGAGACGGCGACAACGGUACGCCCACCAAGCUCUAGCGACAUCCCCUUUUCCUUUGUGCUGCUGUUAUAAGCCACUUCGAUUGGCUGUUAUCAUCCUCGGCCUCCAUUCUCUCUCCUCUCUUCUCUGAGCCAUGGCGAGCGCUUCCGCUCCUCCGAGGGCCCUUCAGAGCUCGGAAAUGCUCUCCAGAGACCAGCUCCUCCACCUCUUCGCUCGCUUCUCCGUCCUCACCUCCCAACCUGAUGUCAAGAAACGGAUAGCCGAUGCCGUAAAGGACAAGCAGGAGGCAGUAGCUGUAACUACAGCCAUCCAAGAGGAAAUACUUCUUGAAAUGGGAAUUGGUUGAAAUCUUUACCAUUUUAGCCUGCCGCAGAUCCAAGAUAUGGGAUUGCUUGCUUGGGAAAGGUAAACACAGUUUAUGAGAAUGACAUGGAAUUGAUGAUCCAGUUUUACCGGUUUGUUGCGAACCCAUUCUACAUUGGAGCAAGUAACCUAAAUCUCGAUGUGGUUUGUGAAUUCCAGAUCAGGUUUGAUGGUGACCGGCAGCCACUCUCUAUUGAAUAAAAAAGAAUUUAAUUGGUUUUGAGAAACAAAAUAUGAAAUUUUAUAUCCAAUGAGAUAUCUAACUAUGUAGUCAAGAUUUGUGUGAUUUGGGAGAUAUUAUUAGCCUAUUUCAAAUUUUGUUUCAUCGAGAAUAACUUAUUAGGGUUGUAUGCAAGAACUUGUUAAAAGGUUCUAAAAGGAACCUUAUGGUCUAAAUGGAUUAUGCUUUUUUGUUAUGUUCAAAGUUAUUAUAGUUGGGAACUUUUUUUGUAUAAUAAAGUUUGAAUGCUUAAGAAUGCUA